rnacentral:rRNA from 1 species
CAGCAGCCGCGGGAAUACGAAGGGUGCAAGCGUUACUCGGAAUUACUGGGCGUAAAGCGUGCGUAGGUGGUGGUUUAAGUCCGUUGUGAAAGCCCUGGGCUCAACCUGGGAAUUGCAGUGGAUACUGGGUCACUAGAGUGUGGUAGAGGAUAGUGGAAUUUCCGGUGUAGCAGUGAAAUGCGUAGAGAUCGGAAGGAACAUCUGUGGCGAAGGCGACUAUCUGGGCCAACACUGACACUGAGGCACGAAAGCGUGGGGAGCAAACAGGAUUAGAUACCCGUGUAGUCCCUGUCUCUUAUAC